UACGUAGGGUGCAAGCGUUGUCCGGAAUUAUUGGGCGUAAAGAGCUCGUAGGCGGCUUGUCACGUCGGGUGUGAAAGCCCGGGGCUUAACCCCGGGUCUGCAUUCGAUACGGGCUAGCUAGAGUGUGGUAGGGGAGAUCGGAAUUCCUGGUGUAGCGGUGAAAUGCGCAGAUAUCAGGAGGAACACCGGUGGCGAAGGCGGCUCACUGGACCGGAACUGACGCUGAGGCGCGAAAGCGUGGGGAGCAAACAGG
rnacentral:rRNA from 1 species